rnacentral:rRNA from 1 species
AUGACCACGUUGCAUGCAUUGGUGGUGCAUGCAGAGGGACCGACUGGUGAUAUGGCUACGUUACAUGAUAUGGAUGCACCUGCCAGGUCGGACCGGAGUCCGGUGGAGACGCGCCUGUCAUCGAAGGAACAAGUGACGCUUGGCAACAUUAAGUCCUGCUGUGCUGGGUUGCUUAAGAAAUUGGCGCCCCCCUUGCUAAAAGAAAUUGAGGUGGUUAAUGGAGUUCGUCCGGGUCAAGACCCCUUCACGCCGCGUCGCAAUACUAGAUCGAUCAGCUCAUGCUCCAGCAACUCCAAGGCAUCGGCGGCUGAGACAGUUCUGCUCAAGGCCUUGGGCAUUGUGCCCGAUGAGUUGGCGAUCUCAGAGGAUGCGCUUGUCCAACUUCGAGAUAUGUUUGACUCGCCCCUACAAGAUAGACACUUGCGCACCAUCGCAGCGAUCUUCGGCAAGUCGCUACCCAUGGACCUGGGAGUGGAGAACCAAGCGGCCGUAGCACAUUAG